AUUUCAGGUGCAGUAUGGCUUUUGCAGUGUACAGAGGAUGGACUGGAGGAAACAUAAAUUAAUCACAGUUGUUGCAUUUUGAAGAUUUUUUAAAAUAUAACACCAUUCGUUAUGUUUGAAAUAUUGUUACCUGGCUUUUGAAAGCUUCCCAUUAUUAAUGUCUAAAAAGCACCAUCACAUACUAUGCUAUGACUGGUAAUGGAUUCUAGAAUCAUGUACCUCCACGAGAAUUAAUACUGCAUGGAUUAAGGACAGGCUUCUCGCACUUCAGUUGUAAUACAGUAAGUCUACAUGAGAUUUUCCAUCUGCUCAAUCUGAAUUUCAUUCUCCAGCUCCGAAACAGUGGAGUACAUUACACGUCUUUAUUUUCCAGGAUUAUAUCACAGCAACAAAGAAAUUCUAACAUAUUUAAGAUUCUGAUUGAGUUUAUUUUCAGUCAUAUGGUAAUCAAAGGUGAAACUAAACCAGAAGAUGAGCUCUAAGAGCUCUGAUGUGUUCCAGUAAUAUGCUUCAACCACUAAUGGGCAUUUAGCCCUGGGGAUUGCAAGUAACUAUCUCAUUUUGUGAUGAAAGAAAAACAAUGUAAACAUUGCUGAAGAUCACUUGGUACCAAGACAAUCUUCUGCCACUGCUUACAGCUGGUUUUUUUAUUUUUAUUUUUAUUAUCCUAAAUAUUUCAGUACUGUUAGCAUGUUAUUACCUCCCUAUCUUGUAAAAAAUAUGCUGGAUAGUACAGACUGUAAUAUAGACCCACAUAGGACCCAUAAAAUGUCCCUCCAGAGAGAAAAAUUAAUAUUAAUUUCCAUUCUCUGUUUGGUAUCUUCUAAUGCUAUGUUUUUUCAAGUAUCUUUAGAGAAAGACUUUCUUAAAAGACUUUAGGAAUUUGUAAGUUGUAGAGUCAAAAACACAAUACUUCUAAGUCUCCUACAAGUUCACUUGUGUCCCUUGGGUACAGCUGUUGGACCAUGGUUGCAUAAGAGGUCCAAGAUGUUCUUAGUUUGUCUUACUGACCAGUAUGAACACUUGGUUCCCUAAGCAGAAUUAAAGAUGCCAAUCUGAUAUCCAUUCAGAGACAUGUCAAGAAAUGUACAGGGAAAGGCUAUAGUAUGUUUUUUUGCCAUGGCCAUUCUAUCAUAAAUCCUUGGUGUUGCAUAAUUACAGCUAUCAGUAUCCCUGGUACAGCAGUCUUACAAUAUCACAGCUUAAUGGAAACAAGCAAUCCUGAUGACAUGUACAGAUUAGCUAGAAUUUGAUUCCCUUCAGUGCACUUCACCAGAGACUUCAAUAGAGACAAAAAGGCAACCAUCAUUUCUGAGUAGUAAAUUACUCUCCUACACAGGUUAGUGCUUCAGAACUGGAAAAAGCUUAUGGAACAUCCUUUUCCAAUGAGAGUGUGACUCUGAAGAAGUCUCUAAAGAACAACCUCUGCAAAACAGCUUAAAAUAUAAACAAGGCUAUUGAUCCUUACCCAGUGUUUUGUACUAGCAUAUUUGGAAAAUAGCAGGCACUGACCUUUGUACCUUAAAGUUGCCUUUCCAUUUCAUUUUCAUUUCCUUUCAGAUUGACUUCUGCUUGAUGAGAUGCAGAAGGAAAGGCACAAAUGCUAGUUAGAGCUCAGCUGUUCCAUGGGACCCAAGGGAGACCUUGGAAUCAAGAAAUCAGUCUUGCAUUUUUUACCAGUUGGAGCCAAAAGGACUUGUAGGCAAGGAAAAUGGGUGCAAAAGUUAGGGUCCAAGUGCUGACAAAUCAGAAAAAUGACAAAGUUGCCAUCAGUGCAGCUGACCUAAGAAACACUCAACCAGCAGUGCUUUUUAUUAAGUCCCUAAACAAGUGAGAUCAAUAAAGAACCUGCACAGAUUUCAUUGUAUGCAACACUGGGGGAAAUGUUUUCUAGAUUAAUAUGUAAAAAAAGAAGGCAGAAAUAAUUAUUCUAUUUUUAAAUAGGCUUUCAAUUUAAUCCUAUAUUUUAAGUAAAAGUUUUAGCAACAGUAAGAAUUGGAAGGAAUUUCCUAUUAGCCUAGGAAUAAUUAUAACUUUAAAUAUUCACCAAUGGCUAUAACUCAGAGGUUUCAUAAGCCCUGUCUCCCAUUCUGAAAACCUCACUAUUUACUUAUCUUGUGCCAUAUCUACAAUCUUCCUCUAUAUGCAGGUAGCCAGCACCCUUCUAGAACAUGACCAUUACUAGCUUGACUACUGUAUCCUGUAUCUCUUCAAUGUGUUUCUAUCUCAGAUUUAUGAUAAAGCUUUUGAAAUAACACCUUUAGGCCCACUGUACUAGUUGUCUCAGUAAUUUUUAAUUUCUAUACUCAACUACAUCAAAGUCACUCUCAAGUACUGUAUUUUCAACUUAAAUUAUCUUAAUCCCUUCUUUCAGUUCACAUUUCUGAUAUUGAAUUACCCUUGGAGACUUACCCUUUGUCUGUGAACUUGCUGUGACUGUACAGUGCUGAAAGAAUGCAACUCCACUUAAUGGCAUAUAAAGACCCCACAUAUGAUGUUAUUACACUAUGAAUAUAUGACAACAGGAUCCAUCUGAGUGUAUUUGAUAUUUAAUUUUCCAAUUCAAACUAAACUAUUUAUCUAUCUUAAAAUCUAUUCAAGGAAACCAUUACUUGAAAUAUUAUUUCUAUUGUACAAUUAUGUUUUCCUAAAGUUACCAGUAAACAAAAGAGUAACUAAUAUAAUAUUGUUUUUUAUCUCAUAUGAAACAGAAGAUGUUUUAGAAGAAUACCUAAAAUUAGGUUAAUUUUCACAUGUAUUAAAACUCUGAAUGGUAAGAGAAUAUAUGCUUUCAUUUUUGAAUAGCAUAUUCAUUUUAUCAUUAACCUAACCUUGACCUAUACUUGACCAAAUAGAGCAUGCCAAAUAUACAGAGCAAUGCCAUAAGUGAUAUUCAUGAAAAAAAAAAAAAAGAAGGGAAUUCUGUUAAUGAUUUUAACUGGAAAAAAAACCAGUGCAGUAUAAGGACAAAGUAUUCUGAAACAAUGUUCAUCAGCUUGAAAGGCCAAAAGUGCUCCAGUGCUGAGGUUUCUUACUAUAGGUAUAAGAAUUCAAAAGCAAUGGUUGUUCAUGUUUUUUAUUAGUUAAAAGAUAAUUUUACAUUCCUCGAGGAAAAUUUCACGUGAAAGGAGACAAUGUAUAGAUUACCAAAUAUAUUUGGCUCAGUGAAUCAGUUCAGGAAAAAAUGUAAGGAAAAAGAAAAGAUGUUUGAUUUAAUCUAGCAGUCCUAGGAUGUUCAGGAAGCCUAAAUUAGUUAAACUGAUAAAUCUUGUAUAUAAUCAAGACUUCUCAAGAGCUAUCUUUCUCUACUCACAUCCCAAUCCAAUCUGAAGUCUGAUUUUAUCAAGCACCCCUAAUGAGUGAUUUACUGUUCAAAUUUACCAUUUUUAUGUCUGGAGUAUUAAAAUGUUAUUGUGGAUGAAGUUUUGUCACAUGGGAAACUGGAAUCAUACAAAGUUUGAAAAGAGCUGCUAGAUUAUCAGUGAAGAGUGAACCUGCUGCAUAUGAAGUAUAAGAGUAUACAUUUAUAACAGGGUUACAGAAUUUCUUCUUUGACAAUGCAGUGUAUAGAGAAAUUUAUUUUCACAUUCAAACCUACAUUUUUUCAUUGUUUUCUAAGGACUGUAAUCUUAUCCCUUUUCACCCCAGUCACUACUCAUGUACUCCCUCUAUUCCUCUUCCCAUUCUUUAUAUUUUGACUUCUGCCUUCUGAUAUAUUAUUCGGCUGUUACCUUCUUAAUCAAAAGAAGAAUAAUCUAAGUACCCUCUUUAUCCCUUCCGCUCUUGGUGAUAUUAGAGUUUGCAUUUGUAUGAUGGUUUUGGACUAGGCCUUCCUGGCAACCAGCUCGUAACCAAGGAAGUGGCCAUGUUCCCAGUAUUCCAUAUGAUUUUUAUGUAAACAAGAGUAUAUAUACAGUGAGGUUCAGGAGCAGUGGGUCCUUGCUUUGGUCUCGCUUAUCUGGAGGCUGAGGCCUGCAGCGACUGCUGGUCUGCCACGCGGGGGUUUGGAGAGUGCUGGCUGUGUUUGGCAAUCUUGUUUCUCUGAGGGAUGUGGUGAGAUUUGCUUUGCUAGUUAGUUAUUUUGCUGGUUCUUGGGUUUGAUUGUGCAUAUCUAUUCUGUGUCCCUUUUUGUCCCUUUUUCCCCUUUCCCUUUCCCUUUGGUGGGGGGGGGGAUGUUUGGGUUUCCUUUGCUGUGUAUGUAGCAUUUUAAUUGUAUAUAACUGUAAUAUAUGUAAAAUAUAUAUAUUUUUAUAUAACUA